GCCGAAGUGGUGGAAUUGGUAGACACGCAUGGUUCAGGACCAUGUGGCUUUAUCGCCGUGGAAGUUCGAGUCUUCUCUUCGGCACCA
rnacentral:tRNA from 1 species